rnacentral:rRNA from 1 species
UACAGAGGUCUCAAGCGUUGUUCGGAUUCAUUGGGCGUAAAGGGUGCGUAGGCGGCGCGGUAAGUCGGGUGUGAAAUCUCGGAGCUUAACUCCGAAACUGCAUUCGAUACUGCCGUGCUUGAGGACUGGAGAGGAGACUGGAAUUUACGGUGUAGCGGUGAAAUGCGUAGAUAUCGUAAGGAAGACCAGUGGCGAAGGCGGGUCUCUGGACAGUUCCUGACGCUGAGGCACGAAAGCGUGGGGGAGCAAACAGG